AGUGGCCAACGAAGAGUGCUGUGUGGGUUCCUGCGCAACCUGCACAGGUGACACGGGACGGACCCUAACUCACAAGGAUGCUCACCUCAUCUCCCCCAGCCGUCCCCCUGAGCCACUAGGCACCUCAGAGGAGGGAGAUGAGGCAGGGGGCUGGUCUGGCGGGAGGCCCACGGGCCCUAAGGAACGGAGGUGUGAGGUGGACAGCAGGGGUGAACCUGCCCCAGCGCUGCUCUAGCUCCCUGGACCACGCCUGCGCUCUCGGGCCACUGUGGCUACAGGAACACUGGCCGCAUGAGGUGGACUUGGCUCUGCAGUGGUCCCUGGCAGCCCUAGGUGGAAGGCUGGUGGGCCUGCUGCGGGACUGGGUGGACCCCAGUGGACACAUCUUGGCAGGCUCUUUCUCCCCUUCCCUGCUCACCCCUGGCCUAGGCCACAACAGUUUCAACCCGGGACUGUCACCGUGCACUGGGCUCUGCUGCAGGAGGGUGUGUGGCAAGCCCUCCUUCCAACGCCCAGGUGUUCUUGUAGACCAUGCCCAGGACCUCUAGCUGGCAGAGUGCCAGGGAAGACCUUAAGGUGUGCGAGGGGACACAGACGUGCAGGCUCAGAUGGCUGGGUCAUGCAUGCCCCAAGGAACCCUGGGUGUGGCCAGAUCCCAGGGCAGGCCCCAGAAGGCUGGAAGCCCAAGUCAGCACUCUCUCCCUCAGGCUGUCUCCAGCUCAUGUCGGGCACUAACUGCCCAGUGACCAUUCAAGGAGGGGCCUUCAGAUCACCACAGCUCAAACUCACUUUGCACCUGGGGAACCUGAGGCAAAUCAUGGCCACAGGCACUAGAUUCUCACCUGAAGAAGAGUGGGUGGAACUCGUUG
rnacentral:lncRNA from 1 species